rnacentral:rRNA from 1 species
AUGGAGAAAGCGGUGCUCUGCCUAGUCUUGAUCUUGGUAGCCUUGCUUGGCUGCAAGGGUGAUCCAGAUAUUGUCACAGAAGGCGACUACGUCAGGAUCAAACGUAGCUUGCUGGCGAUCCUGAUAGUGUUCCCCGUCAUGAUGCUGGCCCUCGCCCUCGCCAUCGUCAAGUACCUGACGCCCAAGGGAAGAUCAGACGAUGACACCAUCGGCUCGUCCGACGACGAGAUGAAGGUGCACGGCGGGGAGGUGAUCAACCGGUGGUCGGGGCUGUACAGGUUCACCAAGGCCGAGAUCGAGCGGGCGUUGGACUACGCCAACAGCCGGAUCUACCUGGGGUCCGGCAGCGCGGGGCAGGUGUACCAGGGGGUGCUGCCCAGCGGCCAGCUCGUGGCCAUCAAGCACAUCCACCGGACGGCCAUGUCCGGCUCCUUCACCAGGGAGGCGGACGGGCUGUCCAAGGUCAGGCACCCCAACCUCGUCUGCCUCUUCGGCUACUGCGACGACGGCAGCGACCAGUACCUCGUCUACGAGUACUGCGCCAAUGGCAACCUUGCCCAGAAUCUCCUCAGAAGUGACUCUGUGCUCUCAUGGCCGACAAGGGUGAAGAUCCUUAGGGACUGUGCAUCUGUACUAAGGUUCCUUCACACACACUCCGAUGGGUGCAUUGUACAUAGAGAUAUUAAGCUUACCAACAUCUUGCUGACAGAGGACAUGGAGCCUAAGCUGUCUGAUUUUGGGCUGGCAAAAAUGCUGCAAAUGGAGGAGACCAAGGUCUUCACCGAUGUGAGGGGAACCAUCGGCUACAUGGAUCCGGAGUACAUAACACACUCCAAGCUUACCUGCGCAAGUGAUAUCUACAGCUUUGGUGUGGUUGUGCUGCAGCUUCUGUCAGGAAGAAAGGUCAUAGAGCUUGACAUUGUUGCGCGCGAUUCUCUCACCAAGAAGGCAAAAGAUGUCGUAACUGGGAAAAAACCACUGGAUGAAUUCAUAGACUCGCGCGUUCGAGAUGAAGUUAAUAUCGAAGAUUUUGUAUUGAUAUUAAAGAUUGGAGUCCUCUGUGUGGCACACUCUAGCGUAGGACGUCCAACAAUAAAAGAUGUGUACGAGGAGAUGGACAAAGCAUGGAGAAAUACAAACACAAAGGCUACUAGGUCAAGGAAGGAGAUAAAUUCGUCAAAUACAGCACAGUAUGCAAAAGUGAUAGAUGUGUAG